rnacentral:tRNA from 2 species
AGUGCCCUGGCAGCGGCGUUGCUGCUGUGGCGUUUUGCCCGCCAGCACCCGGCCGUGAGCCGCUGGGCCGGCGGUGCGCUGCUGUUGGGCGUGGC